rnacentral:lncRNA from 1 species
AAGACAAAUUCUUAUUGCCUAUAUGAGUGAUCUAAUCCUUGACAAAUGAGUUUUCAUUUUCAGUAUAUAGUUUGGUGAAUAAACUCUUCUCUACAACAACAGUCUGUACCACACUGGCUAGAGUUAUAGUGAAAUAUGGUUAAGUACUGAACCCUUUCUUAGACCCUAUCAGAUCCAAAGAUACUGAACAUUCUCCAGUGCUAUCAAAUCUUUGGAGAGAAAGUUUACCAUAGCCUUUCCUUCCUUCUCUUUCCUUUUCCUAUCUUGCUUCAAACAUAGAAAGAAGUACCAUAUGAAAUAAGUAAGCCUUUUUAGGCAGUUUUUUCAUUCCUUAGCUGAGAGUAGAAGAGUGUGCUGCAAAAGACCUUCAUAAAAUUGAAUAGGUAACAUAGCAAAAUAAGCUACAGUGUGGAUCUUGGAAUCAGACAGACUUGAAUUCUGGUUCUGUGUGCCUCUUAGCUGUAUAAUCUUUGAUAUUUAAUAUUUAUAAAAUGAGGAUAAUAAUUCAUAGGGCCCUAUUCUACAAAAGGACACUGUUUUUGUCAAAUCCAGACACCUUCAAAGUAAGGAUAAAAACCCAGGGAAUGUUAGUUCCUUUUUAAGUCUGUUUUGUGAUUUAUAAAAUGGGAUAAAUAGUCUCUUCUUCACGAGUUCUUGGAAUAAUUAAGAUAUACAAACACAUUGGCACGCAGAGCACCCUCAGUAAUUGUGAAUUAUUUUUUACUGUUACUGCAGUCAUUUGAUGUCUGUUGAAGGAAUUAUAGCCUGCAUGGACUUACUGUGCACUGGAAGGAAGGGAAAUCUGCUACCUGGUGGGUUAAAGCAUUUUGCUUUAAAAGGUCGUUAGUAGAAGGCAGGCUGAGUGCUGGGUGCGCUCAGGUGUGACUGACUGCAGGACACCAAGAAGAAAUGGGGUUUGAAGUAACAGCUCCCUUUAUCCAAGCCGAAAACUGUGACGCAAACAGUGCUUUCUAAAUCGCUGUGAAUGGAACAACCUAUUAGGGAAAGUUUCCAUCUGGAGUACUGGUAAUGAACUCAAAUGAGAGUAAACUGCUGGAAAAUUGCAAGAGCAAUGGAAAAUAAAAAGGGUGCCUAGAUUGAAUGAGUUAAGGUUGUAUUAUACUUUAGUUCAGAAACAAGUUAUGGUGACUGGAAAAAGUUUAAGUAAUUAAUUCUAGAGUAAACUGUGUUAGAUUAAAUUUAUUGGAGGGACAGCUCAAAUUCUGUAUUAAAUCUGUGUAAUUCUAGAUCUAGGGUCAAGAUUUAGAUGAGCUCUCAUCGUCUAAUCCCAGUAGAAAUUCCCUUAAGACAAUUAGGACCUGAGAAACUCCUAGAGUAAGUAAGAACCAUUCCAAAUUGUAAGAAACAGUAUUUUCUGACUGUAUAAAAUCUUGUUUUUCAUUGGCCUGUUUAUCUUUGCCCCUGCCAUUUGUCAUGUUGGUUCUCUUUACGCAUUACAGCUUGAAAGUCAUACCCUGAUAGCUAGAAUUUUAGACUCUUCAGUUAAAUUCAGGCAAUAUUAAUUGCAUGCCUAUUGGGUACCAGGCAGCAUGCUAAAUGUUAGGCAUGUAAAGACAAGACGUUGUCCUUGCCCUCAAAGUAUGCAUAGCCUUGGCAGGUGGUAUCAGUGAUACUAACGAUGGUGAUAAUCUAGCUAACAUUGAUGAAGCACCUGCAAUUUACUCAAUAACAGUUCUUGGUGCUUUGUAUAUAUUAACUCAGUCCUCACAAGGGUCUUGAUGUAGGUAUUAAUAGUAUUAUUUCAUUUUACAAAUGGAGACCCUGAGGCACAAAAAUUCGAGUAACUUGCCUAAGGUCAAGCGGGUGAGAAUUUGGAGCAAAGCCCUCGAUUCUGCUAUGCCAGACAGUUCCUGAGUUAUUUAUGCUUUGGUCAGAGCUUAGCUUAUUAAAAUUAUGAUUUUUAAAAGCCCACUUUUCUUUAAACCUUAAAUAUACUUAAAAAUUCACUGAAAAAUUUAGUUGGGUGUUAAUAUUAAAAAUGCCUAUUUGCUUGUUUUUUGACUGAUGCUCAAGCGCUUUUACAUUUGACAGAUGAAAUUCCUCUAUUAAAUACCAUUUACAGGCUGGGUGCAGUGGCUCAUGCCUAUAAUCCUAGAGCUUUGGGAGGCUGAGGUGGGAGGAUCACUUGAACCCAGCAGUUCAGGGCUGCAGUUAUCUAUGAUUGUGCCACUGCACUGCAGCCUGGGUGGCAGAGCACUACCCUGUCUUUAAAAAAAAAAAAAAUUAUAAACUUGACUAGAAUUCCUUAAACAUUUCAAAACAUGCUUACAAAUUUAAUAUAUC